rnacentral:rRNA from 1 species
GAUGAACGCUGGCGGCGUGCCUAAUACAUGCAAGUCGAGCGAACGGACGAGAAGCUUGCUUUUCUGAUGUUAGCGGCGGACGGGUGAGUAACACGUGGAUAACCUACCUAUAAGACUGGGAUAACUUCGGGAAACCGGAGCUAAUACCGGAUAAUAUUUUGAACCGCAUGGUUCAAAAGUGAAAGACGGUCUUGCUGUCACUUAUAGAUGGAUCCGCGCUGCAUUAGCUAGUUGGUAAGGUAACGGCUUACCAAGGCAACGAUGCAUAGCCGACCUGAGAGGGUGAUCGGCCACACUGGAACUGAGACACGGUCCAGACUCCUACGGGAGGCAGCAGUAGGGAAUCUUCCGCAAAGGGCGAAAGCCUGACGGAGCAACGCCGCGUGAGUGAUGAAGGUCUACGGAUCGUAAAACUCUGUUAUUAGGGAAGAACAUAUGUGUAAGUAACUGUGCACAUCUUGACGGUACCUAAUCAGAAAGCCACGGCUAACUACGUG